UGGAAACUCUAGAUGAUGUGGUGGGUUCAUCGGUUUCAAUUAAUGAAUGUCGAGAAUUUGUCUGUCCCAUGAAUUAGGAACGGUUUGAAGCAAAUUGAUAUGCUACGAAGAAAACAAAAAAAAAAGAGUAAAAGAAAAAAAAGAAAAUAGUUUCUUUUUUAUUUUUAUUACCUAAAAACAGCAAUCAAGUAAUACACGGACUAAAGGUGUAGCUAUCCGAUUACUUAAAACUCGCAAGCCGAUUCAAAAUAUAAACAAACAGAUAUCAAAGUAUAUGGCCCUCAAGCGCCUUUGAUCUUAGCUAGAUCACAAAAAAACAAGUAACUGAUUUGAUACAAAUAUCUAAAUACCUUGAAUUGGCCUGGAGCUGUAACAAUGAUGACUCCUUACACCAAGUUACGUCCUGAUUGCUGCAAAGACAGACGAAGCCGUACUGUCAGUUUUUAGUUAAAUAUAUGAGAAUGAUUAGGUUUCUGAAAAACCUUUACACAAGAAAGGUCAAGUCAGAAAAAACAAUUAAACACAAAUGUUCACAAAUAUGGUGUGGAUGGCAAAAUGGAAUGGAGCCAUGGGAUUUCCGAACAGCAUGGUA